rnacentral:rRNA from 1 species
AACGUAGGAGACAAACGUUAUCCGGAGUUACUGGGCGUAAAGGGCGUGUAGGUGGUUUUGUAAGUCUGGCGUGAAAUUUUUCGGCUUAACCGGGAAAGGUCGUCGGAUACUGCAAGGCUAGAGGAUGGUAGAGGCGUGUGGAAUUCCGGGGGUAGUGGUGAAAUGCGUAGAGAUCCGGAGGAACACCAGUGGCGAAGGCGACACGCUGGGCCAUACCUGACACUGAUGCGCGACAGCAUGGGGAGCAAACAGG